GAUGAACGCUGGCGGCGUGCCUAAUACAUGCAAGUCGAGCGAACGGACGAGAAGCUUGCUUCUCUGAUGUCAGCGGCGGACGGGUGAGUAACACGUGGAUAACCUACCUAUAAGACUGGGAUAACUUCGGGAAACCGGAGCUAAUACCGGAUAAUAUUUUGAACCGCAUGGUUCAAAAGUGAAAGACGGUCUUGCUGUCACUUAUAGAUGGAUCCGCGCUGCAUUAGCUAGUUGGUAAGGUAACGGCUUACCAAGGCAACGAUGCAUAGCCGACCUGAGAGGGUGAUCGGCCACACUGGAACUGAGACACGGUCCAGACUCCUACGGGAGGCAGCAGUAGGGAAUCUUCCGCAAUGGGCGAAAGCCUGACGGAGCAACGCCGCGUGAGUGAUGAAGGUCUUCGGAUCGUAAAACUCUGUUAUUAGGGAAGAACAUAUGUGUAAGUAACUGUGCACAUCUUGACGGUACCUAAUCAGAAAGCCACGGCUAACUACGUGCCAGCAGCCGCGGUAAUACGUAGGUGGCAAGCGUUACCCGGAAUUAUUGGGCGUAAAGCGCGCGUAGGCGGUUUUUUAAGUCUGAUGUGAAAGCCCACGGCUCAACCGUGGAGGGUCAUUGGAAACUGGAAAACUUGAGUGCAGAAGAGGAAAGUGGAAUUCCAUGUGUAGCGGUGAAAUGCGCAGAGAUAUGGAGGAACACCAGUGGCGAAGGCGACUUUCUGGUCUGUAACUGACGCUGAUGUGCGAAAGCGUGGGGAUCAAACAGGAUUAGAUACCCUGGUAGUCCACGCCGUAAACGAUGAGUGCUAAGUGUUAGGGGGUUUCCGCCCCUUAGUGCUGCAGCUAACGCAUUAAGCACUCCGCCUGGGGAGUACGACCGCAAGGUUGAAACUCAAAGGAAUUGACGGGGACCCGCACAAGCGGUGGAGCAUGUGGUUUAAUUCGAAGCAACGCGAAGAACCUUACCAAAUCUUGACAUCCUUUGACAACUCUAGAGAUAGAGCCUUCCCCUUCGGGGGACAAAGUGACAGGUGGUGCAUGGUUGUCGUCAGCUCGUGUCGUGAGAUGUUGGGUUAAGUCCCGCAACGAGCGCAACCCUUAAGCUUAGUUGCCAUCAUUAAGUUGGGCACUCUAAGUUGACUGCCGGUGACAAACCGGAGGAAGGUGGGGAUGACGUCAAAUCAUCAUGCCCCUUAUGAUUUGGGCUACACACGUGCUACAAUGGACAAUACAAAGGGCAGCGAAACCGCGAGGUCAAGCAAAUCCCAUAAAGUUGUUCUCAGUUCGGAUUGUAGUCUGCAACUCGACUACAUGAAGCUGGAAUCGCUAGUAAUCGUAGAUCAGCAUGCUACGGUGAAUACGUUCCCGGGUCU
rnacentral:rRNA from 1 species